GACGAACGCUGGCGGUGUGCUUAACACAUGCAAGUCGAACGGUAAGGCCCUUUCGGGGGUACACGAGUGGCGAACGGGUGAGUAACACGUGAGUAACCUGCCCUCAUCUCUGGGAUAACAGUCGGAAACGGUUGCUAAUACUGGAUAUGAGCUUGCAAGGCAUCUUGUGGGUUGGAAAGAUUUUUUUGGUUGGGGAUGGACUCGCGGCCUAUCAGCUUGUUGGCGAGGUAGUGGCUCACCAAGGCUUCGACGGGUAGCCGGCCUGAGAGGGCGACCGGCCACAUUGGGACUGAGAUACGGCCCAAACUCCUACGGGAGGCAGCAGUGGGGAAUAUUGCACAAUGGACGGAAGUCUGAUGCAGCAACGCCGCGUGCGGGAUGACGGCCUUCGGGUUGUAAACCGCUUUCAAUUGUGACGAAGCUUUUUGUGACGGUAGCAGUAGAAGAAGCACCGGCUAACUACGUG
rnacentral:rRNA from 1 species